GAUGAACGCUGGCGGCGUGCCUAAUACAUGCAAGUCGAGCGAACGGACGAGAAGCUUGCUUCUCUGAUGUUAGCGGCGGAGGGGUGAGUAACACGAGGAUAACCUCCCUAUAAGACUGGGAUAACUUCGGGACACCGGAGCAAAUACCGGAUAAUAUUUUGAACCGCAUGGUUCAAAAGUGAAAGACGGUCUUGCUGUCACGUAUAGAUGGAUCCGCGCUGCAUUAGCUAGUUGGUAAGGUAACGGCUUACCAAGGCAACGAUGCAUAGCCGACCUGAGAGGGUGAUCGGCCACCCUGGAGCUGAGACACGCUCCAGACUCCUACGGGAGGCAGCAGUAGGGAAUCUUCCGCAAUGGGCGAAAGCCUGACGGAGCAACGCCGCGUGAGUGAUGACGGUCUUCGGAUCGUAAAACUCUGUUAUUAGGGAAGAACAUAUGUGUAAGGAACUGUGCACAUCUUGACGGUACCUAAUCAGAAAGCCACGGCUAACUACGUG
rnacentral:rRNA from 1 species